UUCUGAAGCUUUUCAUUUGUAUGUUUAUUUAUUGUACAUAUAUAAUAUCCAAUUUCCUUUCCCUAUUAAUUGGUUUCUGAAGCUUUUCAAUCUCUAGGGGCUUUAGUAUAUGUAUAAUAAUUGUACCAUCUUCUAUAAAUUAAAACAAAGAUGUCAUCUUGUUUUUUUGAACGUACGAAUGAAAUCCUUAUAUGUUAAGGUGCUAUUGUCUUUGGAAUUUAUGUUUGAAAUUAAAAUUCGUGCGCUUCGACUUCAACAUAUACAAUGCAUUAUUUUAUUCUCAUUCAAGAUGAAACUUAGCCAGAUCAUGAACUACCUUGUUGCACACUUGAGAUUGAAAACAUAUUUUAUGACCGAACACCUUGUUACCUUGUGGCACUUUUUACUCUUGCUCAAUUCGCAUUGCAUCCAGUAUAUUUAGCUAGUUUCCACUCUUUACUCUUGUUCAAAAUUAUUAUACAUAUACUAAAGCCCCUAGAGCGGCACUGUUCAUAGCACUGUUUUCCUGAAAGGACGGUUUUGCCCUUUUUUUCUUAGUGAUUUACGGCUUGCCAUUGCAUAUCUGUGUUUAAAUUGUUUUUGCCCUAUCGGGUUGUGGUCAGACCAAAAAUAAAACAAGGAAAAAGAAAAGUGAUUGUCGUGUCGUGUUUGAGCAGAAAGCGAGAGGAUGGUAUCUGGUUUUGUUUUGAUAAGGUCGAAUUUGUAGCUUGAGUGGGUGCAGGCGAAUCGAGCUUCAGCUUCGCUGUUCUGUGUGAUCAAAUUUUUCCAUCGACGUCAACCAUUGUGAAAGCUUGGUGGGAUUUCGAUUUGAGAUAAAGAGAUUGGGUUUUUUUUCCUGCGGUUCUGGAAAAGAAAGGACAAGAGGAGAAAUUUAAUCCCAAGGGGUCAAGAUUGCAUUAUACUUGGACAUGGUCUAUGUAGUAGAUUAAGGAAGUUGAAUUCAAGAGAGAGUUGCCUCCAGGUGAGAUAAUGAUAAUGCCGUGGAAUGUAACUGUUAGACAGCUAAAAUAGGAACCUGAGAGUGUCCUAAAGGAUGCAUAUUAACAGUUUGUGGUGAUGAAAAUCAAACGCUUGAAGGAAUCAGAUUAUAUGAAAGUAUUUUCUGAACAGUUUAGUUGGGGACAGUUUGUCUCUCUUCACACAAAUACUAUUCCGAUUAAUGUAAUAUACGGUAUUUUAUCAGUUUGAUCAAGAAUAUAGUCAUUUUCAAUUAUAUCUUUCAUUAUUGUAAAUUAUUACCAAUAACAAAUAUCUUUCAUUAUUGUAAACUAUUACCAAUAACAAAUCCCGCGGCAAAGUGCGGGUGUCAUUGCUAGUGAAUACCUGUAGAACAGUGCGCCUAGAUAUUAAAAAAGAAAAGAAAAGAAAACUGGAUUACAUUAUUGUAUCUUACUAGCUACUGGACAAAGGUAAGCAACAGUGACAAUUGCUGAGUUAGAUGUAA